AUUGAACGCUGGCGGCAUGCUUUACACAUGCAAGUCGAACGGCAGCACGGACUUCGGUCUGGUGGCGAGUGGCGAACGGGUGAGUAAUACAUCGGAACGUACCCAGUAAUGGGGGAUAACUAUCCGAAAGGAUAGCUAAUACCGCAUACGCCCUACGGGGGAAAGAGGGGGAUCGCAAGACCUCUUGUUAUUGGAGCGGCCGAUGGCUGAUUAGCUAGUUGGUGAGGGAAAGGCUCACCAAGGCGACGAUCAGUAGCGGGUCUUAGAGGACGAUCCGCCACACUGGAACUGAGACACGGUCCAGACUCCUACGGGAGGCAGCAGUGGGGAAUCUUGGACAAUGGGCGCAAGCCUGAUCCAGCAAUGCCGCGUGCGUGAAGAAGGCCUUCGGGUUGUAAAGCGCUUUUGUCAGGGAGCAAAUCCUUGUGGCUAAUACCCACCGGGGAUGAGAGUACCUGAAGAAUAAGGACCGGCUAACUACGUGCCAGCCGCCGCUGUAAAAC
rnacentral:rRNA from 1 species